rnacentral:tRNA from 1 species
GGGCGGUUCGGAUAGUGGCAAUUCCGUCGCGCUGUAAACGCGAUGACCUUUGGUCUACGGAGGUUCGAGUCCUCCACCGCCCA